rnacentral:misc_RNA from 1 species
CAUUAAGCUGCAAUGCGUGAUUUGUACAGCUAUUGCGAAACAAUGCCGUGGCCGGAAAGUGUAGACAGGCAAAAUUCGUCAUUCGUCAAAUGCAAGUUCAAAAUCGGGCCAAUGAUUAUAACAUCGGAGCUGCAAAUGGAUAAUAAAAUUAAUGCAAAAUCGGAACAGUGCAAAAUAUAUCAUCAAGGCAAACCAUGGGGGAGAAUUCUUUUACGUGUGGGAAAAACGAACUGGGCAAUCAAAUUUCAGAAAAUCCUCCUUGACUACCCCCGCCCUUCUCAAAACCCGAGAUACGCCACCGGGGCCUCAUGAUGUGCAGCGCUGUCUUAAUAUGGUCGCCAUCAAGUCACGGCUAGUCCAUUGCACAUGACGCGCAGCCAAGCUGAAGCCCGAUAGGAUGCUGCGAACAUUGCCGAAGAACAUUCAAACGAAGCUGUACCGUUUUGACGAAAAGGAUUCACGGACUUCAAGUGUUGACGUAUUAACGUUAAAGCGUCAUGCUUGGUUGGGUCAGAGUGCGGGAGACGAUCCUACACGUGGA